rnacentral:rRNA from 1 species
AGAGUUUGAUCCUGGCUCAAGAUGAACGCCGGCGGUGUGCCUAAUACAUGCAAGUCGUACGCACUGGCCCAACUGAUUGAUGGUGCUUGCACCUGAUUGACGAUGGAUCACCAGUGAGUGGCGGACGGGUGAGUAACACGUAGGUAACCUGCCCCGGAGCGGGGGAUAACAUUUGGAAACAGAUGCUAAUACCGCAUAACAACAAAAGCCACAUGGCUUUUGUUUGAAAGAUGGCCUUGGCUAUCACUCUGGGAUGGACCUGCGGUGCAUUAGCUAGUUGGUAAGGUAACGGCUUACCAAGGCGAUGAUGCAUAGCCGAGUUGAGAGACUGAUCGGCCACAAUGGAACUGAGACACGGUCCAUACUCCUACGGGAGGCAGCAGUAGGGAAUCUUCCACAAUGGGCGCAAGCCUGAUGGAGCAACACCGCGUGAGUGAAGAAGGGUUUCGGCUCGUAAAGCUCUGUUGUUGGAGAAGAACGUGCGUGAGAGUAACUGUUCACGCAGUGACGGUAUCCAACCAGAAAGUCACGGCUAACUACGUGCCAGCAGCCGCGGUAAUACGUAGGUGGCAAGCGUUAUCCGGAUUUAUUGGGCGUAAAGCGAGCGCAGGCGGUUGCUUAGGUCUGAUGUGAAAGCCUUCGGCUUAACCGAAGAAGUGCAUCGGAAACCGGGCGACUUGAGUGCAGAAGAGGACAGUGGAACUCCAUGUGUAGCGGUGGAAUGCGUAGAUAUAUGGAAGAACACCAGUGGCGAAGGCGGCUGUCUGGUCUGCAACUGACGCUGAGGCUCGAAAGCAUGGGUAGCGAACAGAAGUAGACACCCUGGUAGUCCAUACCGUAAACGAUGAGUAAUAGGUGUUGGAGGGUUUCCGCCCUUCAGUGCCGGAGCUAAACGCAUUAAGCACUCCGCCUGGGGAGUACGACCGCAAGGUUGAAACUCAAAGGAAUUGACGGGGGCCCGCACAAGCGGUGGAGCAUGUGGUUUAAUUCGAAGCUACGCGAAGAACCUUACCAGGUCUUGACAUCUUGCGCUAACCUUAGAGAUAAGGCGUUCCCUUCGGGGAAGCAAUGACAGGUGGUGCAUGGUCGUCGUCAGCUCGUGUCGUGAGAUGUUGGGUUAAGUCCCGCAACGAGCGCAACCCUUGUUACUAGUUGCCAGCAUUAAGUUGGGCACUCUAGUGAGACUGCCGGUGACAAACCGGAGGAAGGUGGGGACGACGUCAGAUCAUCAUGCCCCUUAUGACCUGGGCUACACACGUGCUACAAUGGACGGUACAACGAGUCGCAAGCUCGCGAGAGUAAGCUAAUCUCUUAAAGCCGUUCUCAGUUCGGACUGUAGGCUGCAACUCGAAUACACGAAGUCGGAAUCGCUAGUAAUCGCGGAUCAGCAUGCCGCGGUGAAUACGUUCCCGGGCCUUGCACUAACCGCCCGUCA